rnacentral:rRNA from 1 species
UACAGAGGGGGCAAGCGUUGUUCGGAAUUACUGGGCGUAAAGGGCGCGUAGGUGGCCUUCUAAGUUGAACGUGAAAUCCCUGGGCUCAACCCAGGAACUGCGUCCAAGACUGGGAGGCUUGAAUCCGGGAGAGGGAUGCGGAAUUCCAGGUGUAGCGGUGAAAUGCGUAGAUAUCUGGAGGAACACCGGUGGCGAAGGCGGCGUCCUGGACCAACACUGACACUGAGGAGCAGAAAGCCAGGGGAGCAAACGGGG